AGGACGAACGCUGGCGGCGUGCUUAACACAUGCAAGUCGAGCGGUAAGGCCCUUUCGGGGGUACACGAGCGGCGAACGGGUGAGUAACACGUGAGCAAUCUGCCCUUCACUUCGGGAUAAGCCUCGGAAACGGGGUCGUAAUACCGGAUAUGACCGCGCUACGCAUGUGGUGUGGUGGAAAGUUCUGGCGGUGGAGGAUGAGCUCGCGGCCUAUCAGCUUGUUGGUGGGUAAUGGCCUACCAAGCUUCGACGGGUAGCGGCCUGAGAGGGUGACCGGCCACACUGGGACUGAGACACGGCCCAGACUCCUACGGGAGGCGGCAGUGGGGAAUAUUGGACAAUGGGCGAAAGCCUGAUCCAGCAACGCCGCGUGAGGGAUGACGGCCUUCGGGUUGUAAACCUCUUUCAGCGCCGACGAAGCGAGAGUGACGGUAGCGGCAGAAGAAGCGACCGCCAACUACGUGCCAGCAGCCGC
rnacentral:rRNA from 1 species